CCUACGGGAGGCAGCAGUGAGGAAUAUUGGUCAAUGGGCGGGAGCCUGAACCAGCCAAGCCGCGUGAGGGAAGAAGGUACAGCGUAUCGUAAACCUCUUUUGUCAGGGAACAAAGGCGGGGACUAGUCCCCGGAUGAGGGUACCUGAAGAAAAAGCAUCGGCUAACUCCGUGCCAGCAGCCGCGGUAAUACGGAGGAUGCGAGCGUUAUCCGGAUUUAUUGGGUUUAAAGGGUGCGCAGGCGGCCUGUUAAGUCAGUGGUAAAAGCCCGGGGCUCAACCCCGGCGAGCCGUUGAAACUGGCGGGCUUGAGUUGGAGAGAAGUACGCGGAAUGCGCGGUGUAGCGGUGAAAAGCUUAGAUAUCGCGCAGAACCCCGAUUGCGAAGGCAGCGUACCGGCUCCACACUGACGCUGAGGCACGAAAGCGUGGGUAUCGAACAGGAUUAGAUACCCCUGUAGUC
rnacentral:rRNA from 1 species